rnacentral:piRNA from 1 species
UCAAAGCUGAGAGCAAGGGAGGAG